UAGCAUUUAAAUAAUUUUCGGAAAAUUAAAAUUUAUCAUAAGUUUAGUAACAUGAUUUUGUGCAUUCAUGUUGAGACAUAUUUUAUUUUGUGUUGAUUGUUUUUGUUUAGAAAUAAAUUGUGCUUUCAAAAUUCUAUUUGGAGAAUGUUUUGGAAAAGAAACUAGAAAAGAAAAGAAGUAAAAAAAAGAAACCCCCCCCCAUGGAAACCAGCCGAGGCCGAGCUUCCCCACUUCCCCCUUCCCCGGCCCAUUUCCCCUUUCCCCGCGACCCACGCGCGCACCCUCCCUCUCUCCUUUCUGCCGC
rnacentral:lncRNA from 1 species